ensembl:misc_RNA Metazoa_SRP Metazoan signal recognition particle RNA
GCUGGGCAUGGUGGCUUACACCUGUAAUCCCAGCACUUUGGGAGGCAGAGGUGGGAGGAUUGCUUGAGCCCAGGAAUUCUAGGCUGCAGUGACCUAUGAUUGCUCCACUGCACUCCAGCCUGGGCAACAGAGCGAGACCCUAUCUAAA